rnacentral:rRNA from 1 species
UUAAAAAGCUCGUAGUUGGAUUUCUGCGGGGGCGGGGCGGCCGGUUGCUUAUAGCACUCGAGCUAGCACUUCCCCCGCAUCCUGCCGCGAACCGUGCUACCAUUAGUUUGGUGGCGCUGGGGAUCGGCUCGUUUACUUUGAGAAAAAUAGAGUGUUCAAAGCAGGCCACACGCCUUGAAUAAGUUAGCAUGGAAUAAUGAUAAAGGACUUCGGUUCUAUUUUGUUGGUGUUCGGGACUGAAGUAAUGAUUGAUAGGGACAGUUGGGGCGGUCAGUAUUCCAAAGCGAGAGGUGAAAUUCUUAGACCUUCGGAAGACUAACAGCUGCGAAAGCGUUCCG